ACCCUGGGCCAGGGCUGCCCAAACUGCGCUGCUCUGGUUGCAGGCGCUGGAGAAGGAGGCCGGCGAGAGAGUCGGCAAAGGGAGUCACCGUGGGGCUCGACCUCGCUUUGCUCGGGGCCUGGCCGCUCGGGCCGGCGUCCCCGCAGUGCCUGGCCAUGCCCCGCCGUGUGCCCGCAGCUGGGAGCAGCCGCAGUGGGAGGCCGGGAUCUGGGCCAGGACCCUCGGGGCGCUGCGGGAGAGCGUCGCCGCGGAGCUGCGCCUCGCCGGCGAGGAGCGCGUGGCGGUGAGGUCGGGCACAGCCGGGCGCACCCGGCCCCGAUCCCCGGCGUGGGGCAGCGCCGGGCGCCCCAGCCUUCGCCCACCGGCUCACGGUGCCCCGGCAGGUCUGACGUGCCGCCCUGCGCCGGCUCUUCCAGCGCGAGCACCUGCAGCAGGAGCUGCGGCGGCUCGGCAAGGCCUUCUACGUGGAGCGGCUGGGAGUGGCGGCGGCACCGCGGGACCCCCCGGCGGAGAAUAAAACAUGCUGAGCCAGACGGGUGCCGUGUCCGCUGUGUGCCGGGACAGGGGCAGCCCAGCGCGGUCCCCCCUGCCGGGAGCAUCGCUGCUGCUGCAUCGCGCGUGCUGGAUCCGGCCUGCUGGCCCGGCCGCGGCUGCGCCAGGAGAUGGCAGCACGGCUGCCGCGUUGGGGUGCCGGGCUCCCGUUGCGGCCGGGCCUCUCCCCGGCACCUGCAACCCCGGCGCAGGCUGCCCCACGGCCCGGGGAGAGGCAGCGGGAAGGUCCCGUCCCCAUGGGGCGAGGGUCGGGCAAGGCACGGCAGUGCGGUGGUUGCACGCAAGCGGUGCACAGUUCCCGGUGCGACCCCGGUGCGCGUGCGGCCYGGCCGUGCAGCUUGGAGCCGCUGGCUCCACGGGCGCUGGAGGAGCCCGGAGCAGCCUGGGCACCCACCGUGCAGCUGCGGUGCAGCACUGCAACCCUGCAGCACCGGGGAGCGGGACCCGGCCGGGCUGGGUGCAACGGGCAGCGCCGCGCGGCGCCCGACCCACUCCCCGCAGCCCCCCGUCCCCGCAGCCCCCCGUCCCCCCCGCCCGACCCCGACCUUGGCGUCUCCCGGCCCCGGGGCCCAUCAGCGCCGGCCCCGGCUCAGCUUAUUGACAGGGCCGGGGGGCCGCGAGCUGGCACCCCCCGACGGCCGCCCUUCAUUAGCUCGUCUGUCGGGUCGCAUCACGUCAGCUGCCGGCCGCACGCGCACCCCCCCACCCCCGGCUCCACGGCCACGUGCGCCCCCGCCGGCCCCAUGGCUGCCCUCC
rnacentral:lncRNA from 1 species